UACAUUCUACCUAGAGACGGGUUACCAGUA
rnacentral:piRNA from 1 species